GUAGAGAAACCGGACGCCGUUCGACUCGAGCUCUCCUAAAGCGGGUGCCGCAGGUUCGAAUCCUGCCGGGG
rnacentral:tRNA from 1 species